AUGUGAUUGUUGAGAGAGGAGUGCAUAAAAUAAUGCUUAAAGAGCUGCCAAAAGAUGAUGAGUUUGAUUGGCUGAACAUACAUGAUGAUGAUGGCGAUGAUGAUGAUGAUGAUGAUGAUGAUGAUGAUGAUGAUGAUGAUGAUGGUGAUGGUGAUGGUGAUGGUGAUGAUGAAGAG
rnacentral:sRNA from 1 species